rfam:A-2 plaque virus A2 polyprotein gene, complete cds.
GAGUGUUCCCACCCAACAGGCCCACUGGGUGUUGUACUCUGGUAUUACGGUACCUUUGUACGCCUAUUUUAU